rnacentral:rRNA from 1 species
UGCGAACUCCUACGGGAGGCAGCAGUAGGGAAUUUUCGGCAAUGGGGGAAACCCUGACCGAGCAACGCCGCGUGAGUGAUGACGGCCUUCGGGUUGUAAAGCUCUGUUGUAAGGGAAGAACGGUUGAUAGAGAAUAUCUAAGUGACGGUACCUUACCAGAAAGCCACGGCUAACUACGUGCCAGCAGCCGCGGUAAUACGUAGGUGGCGAGCGUUAUCCGGAAUUAUUGGGCGUAAAGGGUGCGUAGGCGGCCUGUUAAGUAAGUGGUUAAAUUGCUGGGCUCAACCCAAUCCAGCCACUUAAACUGGCAGGCUAGAGUAUUGGAGAGGCAAGUGGAAUUCCAUGUGUAGCGGUAAAAUGCGUAGAUAUAUGGAGGAACACCAGUGGCGAAGGCGGCUUGCUAGCCAAAGACUGACGCUCAUGCACGAAAGCGUGGGGAGCAAAUAGGAUUAGAAACCCGAGUAGUCCAGAUG